UAUAGAAGAUUUCUUAUGACAAACAAAGUUUCGAUUAUGACCAUGGAAGAAACAUGUAAGCUUGCAGUGAUUGGGCGUCCAUGUAAAAUGUGCUCUAACCAAGUGAACUUCUUCAAAAGGAAGUGGACUAUGAAGAAAGGAUAGAUUGUUUAGACUUUGCCUGUGGAGGAAGGGAGAUUCCUGGGUGCUCAACACUUUAUGCUCAUUGCUCUGUUCAAGAAGAAUAAGAAACUCAGAGUAUGCCCAAAUAGGUUGCACCUCCUAUUUGACAUCUUGUUGGAGCAGCAAUGUCAAAGAAGAUGUACAUUAUACAAAUAUUUGAAGAGAAGUAUCUAAAUCUGGAAACUACUAGUGUGUCUACAACCUCAGAAUUCCUCACUUAAGAAAAUGUGGAUCUCAAGUCCUACCUCAUCAGAUUUAGAGUCUCACAUCUCUUUAACAGCUUUGUGUUGCACAAUGUCUAGGUUCAGGUUUCCGUUGAGGAAACAAUUUCACGAAUACACUUGCAAGGGUAUUAAAACCCCUUAUCUUUGUGGAGCCUCCAAAGAUUCACCUUUCUAAAAACUCAGUUCAUUCAUUUUAUAUUGUACAUUGUUAAAUGCAAUUUCCUUUUUACAGGAUUUCUUGCUACAACUCUCAUUGAUUUUUCAAUGAAAAUAUUGUCAAAUCUAGAAUCCUAGCCCCCUCCCUUGGUCUUCAAAACUUCAUUUCUUUAACUUGUAGAGAUUGAGGGAUGCCUUGUUCUAGUCCUUCUUGCCAAGUGAAAGGUUGUCUUCUAAGUUUUAUCAAACUUCGAAAUCAAAGAUGUUUCAAGGAGAAUGAUAGAGAUUGGCCCCAGAUUUCCCGCUUCCCCUAAAAUGAGGAUACAUCAUAAACUCAUUUUUGAACCAUAAUAAAUUCAAAUUGCAAAAAUGGAUGCAGAGCCAAUUCAACCCUAUCCUAGCCUUACAUUCAUUAAGGUAACUCUUAUUCUCAAUACACAUUUCUUACUCUUUUAUCUGCAUAGUACCUUGUAAAUUUCUCAUAUUGAUGUUGUGUUUUACCAGUGGCUCAACAAUUUGUGGAAGUCUCCAUGGAGUUAUGUUGAUAGUUUGACUAGGAAGUAAGUUAUCAGUACAAUAGUUACAAACUUAUGGGGGAGUAUUUUGUUUCUUAUCGAUCUCUCUCAUGGUCAAUGUAAGCAUCUUAAGUUCUACCUGUAAUGAAAUCUUCGUAAUUUUCUUUUAGGUGCUCUUUGAGCAGUCUUAGUUAAAGAUUUGACAUGCAAGCAUGGGAUGUAAAAUGAUAAGGGAGGGUGUUAUUUGACAACAUUUACAAAUUGGCAUGGAUGCCUUCAUUUCAAUUAAGCAUCUUUUGUGAUACCCUUCUAACCGGGUUUAAAUACAAUUUUCUAAAUCAAUAUAUAAUGCACAAAGUUUACCUUAAUAAGUGCACUUUAUGUUAAAAUAUCAAUCUUUCGUAAUCAAGGAAAUGACAAAUUUUCCUUUUAGAAAGAAUGAUGAAAAUUUUCUUUACUGUAUAGUUAUUUAUGAUCUCAAGUCAUUCCUUUAAGGUUUUCAAAUUGUCAAAAGGAAGGAUUCAAUUUUCUAUAUGUUUAAUACUCUUAUUCUGUUGACAAAAUGAGAUUUGGAUUUCACAUUGGAGACUACAAGUUUGGCCUAAAUGCAAGUAACACCUCUUUAUUUAUUUCACACAUGAUUAAAAAACUAAGUAGCAAGUGCAUAUGUCUAACUUCCAUUUAUUUAUUCUACAGUUUCUACAACACACCACGUUCUUAUGUCUCUUGGAAAGUUAAGAACCUUGUUUAAAAUAUGGUAUGCCUUCCAUGCUAAGAAGUCUUUUGCUCCGUGAUUGUGGUGGCUCGAAUAGCAACUUGCAUCUGUUUUGAUACAUGGAGAACUCAAGAGAACAUAUGGAUUCAUUAGCAAGAAUUUCAUCCAACAUACAAGCUUUUAGGUGAGUGAUGUACACUGAAAAUUUUUCUAUUUUGUUUGGUUUGAAAUGCUCUUCAAUUUUAAACCAACAUACUGUUAUUUGUUUGCAACAUGUUAUAUUUGUAGAAAAUUAUCUUAUCUAGAUUUAGACUGCAGAUUUGAAUAAUGUUUGAGGUGAAAGAAACUUUUUGGCAUGUCCUGCUGUCUUGAGUUGUGCAAGUCAGAGGCUCGAAGAGCACAAACUCUUAUGACCGGAAGAAAGACGUUUGAGUUCUCAUUCUAUGUUGGAGAUUGGAGAUGAGAUUACAACAUGAUCUCAUGUCCUUGGCAAUUUGUAGAUUGAGGGUUUUCAAAAGGCUUUGCCCCAAUACCAGUAAAAGAAGAACUGCCACGGAAGCAACUAACAUUGGUACCUUGUAUCUCAAGUUUCAUAGAGAGUUGAUAAUUGAAUUGGUGCCCAAUCUUUUUCCCAAGAUAGGUGCGUUAUCCUUGCCAAGUGGAUGCCCUAUUCAAAUUAUAGGGCUUUGGAUUCCUUAAUGAUUGGAAUGAUCUCUGGAAUUCUUGCAUAUUUCUAAAUGUCAUGGAACAUCUUUCCAACAGGCUAACUUCCUUCAGUGCUCUAAAUUGUGGAGAUCACGAGUUGCUAAAAUUUGUGGUCUGGAUUAGAGAAGGAUUGUUUGAUGCUUUCAGUACUAGCUACAUCUCUUGUCCUUGCAACUACAUAUCUUUUAAUCCCCUCUGGUGAGAAAAGAAUAAAAAACAUAAACAAGUUGCCUCAUGAUGACUCAUAUUCAUAAUGUUCUAGUUGAUGAUGUACCUUCCUAAGAUUGAAGAGUGAGAAAUGUCAAAGACAUCCCUUAUAUGAGUGAGGCCUUCAUAGACUCAUGAUUCUCAAACAACUCAUCAUGAUUGAUAAUAUAUUUAAGAUGUGUUUCUUCUCAAAUGACCAAGGCCUGCCCUUUCUUCCAAUGUAUCUCAUGUAUAUUUUCAUGUAAAGAUUCCAGAAUCCCUGACUUUUCUAUAUCACCAAGACCUCACCUAAGCUCUAGUUGUAUUUGUCAACUGAAGGAGAACCUUGUCAUGGUUUCAGAGCUAUACAUCAGUUCCAAAUCCAAUGAUGAGACAUCAAUUCAAGAUUGCCCACAUCUCCUAUUUGGAAAUAGAUGGAGAGAUCCAUCUUUGAUCCAUUAGAUUCCAAAAAUGGAAGCACAGAGAGUUCACCCUAUCCUAUCCAUAUAUUUAGUAAGUUUCAUUUAUUCCCAACACAUAAUUCUUACAUUUUAUCUUCUUAUUACAAGUAUAAAGUCAUACUGUUGAAAUUUUCUACAAGUUCAACUACUAGAGAAUCCCUACAUUGAACCUUUUUGUUGAAAACUUGACUAGGGAGCAACGUCUUGACAGCAGUUACAAGCUUUAUGGUUUCACAUUUGCUAUUCAAAGUUUGUUCCUCUUGUUGGUCCUCCCACAGUCCCAUGUAUAGUAAUGUGCCAAUUGGAUAUCUAGAAGUUAUAUGGUUUAAUGAAUUAGAAGCUACCAAGUGGGUGCACAACUUCAAGCCUUUUCGAUAGCUAAUAAUUGAUGGUUGCAUGCCCAAGACACCUCUUUCCUAUGGAUAGGUUUCUCAUUCAAGGUAAGAAGGCUGACAGUUCAAAAUUGUAUAUAGGGCUUUGGGGUUCCCCAAUAUCAGUGGAGGAAGACAAUCUACCACAAAAACAACUAGCAGUUUUGAUUGAAUUGGUGUCUCAAGUCUUCCAAAGAACUCAGAAUUGAGUUGGUGCUCAAGACAGUUUACUUCCGCAAGAUUGAAUUGGGGAUUCUUUCGAUGAUGGGUUGUCCAAAUUCACUUUCAGCAUAACUCCUAGUUCAUUCAGGUGUAGUGAUAUUGGUAGUUGGAUAUCUACAAUUCAUAUGGUGCAAUCUAUACGAAACUACCAUGAGGGUGCACAAUCUCGAGUCUAUUAGAGAGAUGGUUGCAUAUGCACAAGACACAUCUGUUUUCCAGGGAUAGAUUUGUAUACAUCUUUUGGAGUUGCUAUUGAUUGGAAUGAUUCAAAAGUAGCAACAAGCCUCUGGAAUUCUUUCAGAUUUCUAGAUGCUCCCUUUCCAUGUCUUUCCAAGAAGCCAACUUCCUGCAAUCCUAAUGAAGGUGGAGAUUUUGAGUUGCUCAAAUGUGGAGUUCAGACUAAAUGAAUGUUGUCAAAUGCAAAAGAAGAACAUCACGUCUUUUGAAUAUCGGUGGUGGAGAAGGGGAUAAUGCACCACAACACAUUUCUUGUACAUCUUACAAUGAUGCUCUCUCACAAUGAUCAAAAGAACAUAGUCAAAACUAAGCAAUGAUAUGGUUUUGCCUCAAGGAGGAAGGAGAGGGAGCAGAGAGGAAGCAAUCCAAUGGAAAGAUGCAUCAAAUUGUUGUCUUGACAAGGGGAUGAAGAGAAGGAGAACACAAGAUGCUGCUUAUUGGUAACAUGAAGUCCUCAUGAAGACAAAUUGUUUGGCUUGACCAAGAGAGGAAGAAAUAGAAAAAAGAACCCAAGGUUCAUCAGAGGACAUUGGUGUGACAAUUCACCCAUGUAAAUUUGGACAAGUAGCUCUAUUGAAAAAUGUUCACAUGACAUACCCAUCAGUGCUACACUUCUGCAAUUUCCUUAAACUGUCAUGCCACAAACUGUGUGGAUCAAUACACUAUGCUAUCAUAAUAGUAAUCCAUAAUUGCUUCCCAAUUUUACAUGAUCAAAGAGGAAGAUAUUCAUAA